rnacentral:rRNA from 1 species
GACGAACGCUGGCGGCGUGCCUAAUACAUGCAAGUAGAACGCUGAAGGAGGAGCUUGCUUCUCCGGAUGAGUUGCGAACGGGUGAGUAACGCGUAGGUAACCUGCCUGGUAGCGGGGGAUAACUAUUGGAAACGAUAGCUAAUACCGCAUAACAGUAGAUGUUGCAUGACAUUUGCUUAAAAGGUGCAAUUGCAUCACUACCAGAUGGACCUGCGUUGUAUUAGCUAGUUGGUGAGGUAACGGCUCACCAAGGCGACGAUACAUAGCCGACCUGAGAGGGUGAUCGGCCACACUGGGACUGAGACACGGCCCAGACGCCUACGGGAGGCAGCAGUAGGGAAUCUUCGGCAAUGGACGGAAGGCUGACCGAGCAACGCCGCGUGAGUGAAGAAGGUUGUCGGAUCGUAAAGCUCUGUUGUAAGAGAAGAACGAGUGUGAGAGUGGAAAGUUCACACUGUGACGGUAUCUUACCAGAAAGGGACGGCUAACUACGUG